rnacentral:rRNA from 1 species
UACGGAGGAUGCGAGCGUUAUCCGGAUUUAUUGGGUUUAAAGGGUGCGUAGGCGGAUUUUUAAGUCAGCGGUAAAAAUUCGGGGCUCAACCCCGUCGUGCCGUUGAAACUGAUGUUCUUGAGUGGGCGAGAAGUAUGCGGAAUGCGUGGUGUAGCGGUGAAAUGCAUAGAUAUCGCGCAGAACUCCGAUUGCGAAGGCAGCGUACCGGCGCCAGACUGACGCUGAGGCACGAAAGCGUGGGGAUCGAACAGG